ensembl:lncRNA
CCAAGAUCCAAGAUGUGAUGUUCUAAACUCCAGACCUUUAUGGGCCACGAUGACCACUUAUCUUCUUCCAGAAUCCGGGAAAGUCACAGAUUUUGAAAAGAGUCUGGAUGGAGAGACAGACAGAUAUUCUGGCAGCUCAUGGCUAUAAACAGGAAGAUUCUUGGCCAUAGCAGUGUGUAGUCUUGAGGAGGCGGUGAGCGUUGCUUCACACCUGCAUGAUAUAUAAAGCUAUUGUGAAGCUAUAGAUAUGCCACAAUAUAAAACUGAAACUCUCUAUGUUUGUUUUAUUUUAUUGUCACCUCAGGAUGCCAACCUAAUGCAAACUUAUGCUAGGUUAAUUUUAUGUUCUAUACUAGUUUAUCAAACAUAUACUGUAGUUUUCACCAUCUCAUGCUUUGAGAAAUGUUAUAGAUCCGCGUGUUUGUGGAAUGUGACAAAGAUUACCGUAUUUGCCAACAGUGCUAAAAGCAACAGCUGUUAUUAGUUAGAGCUGCACUGUAAUAG